UCACUCCCUGGCUUUCUCGACACUGCCACAUGUCUCUUUCAAUCUAACACUUUCCUUUUCGGCAUGUCAUUUCUGAAAGCUAUCAGGAUGUAGCAGAUAAUUCAAAGAAUAGUCAAGCUUUUGUAAAUGCAACUAAUGGGGAAGUGAUUUUCGGAGGCUGGUUUUCUCGCAUGUAUUAUACAAGCCCUGGAAUCAGUAUGGAGAAGAAACAGCAGAAACUGGCCUCUUAAUAGAACAGGAAUUUGUAUUCUAUACCGACCCUAAUCCUCAAUUAACGUAGUUACAAAUUCUGGUUGGUGGCUAUUUAUUUCCCAGCAGUAACCUGAAAACAAUUUUAACCCACUCAUAUUCUUCCUGCCCCCAAAAUAGCCUCCGCAACCACUUCUUGGAUUUUAUGCAGUUUUUGGGCUAUAGCUCCCAGAAUGCCUAGUAGUCAGGCUGCUGUAAGGAUUAUGGAAACUGUAGUCUAAAAAGUAGCUUUUCUGAGGUCUGGUUCUAUACCAGAUUGAUUUCUUCUGAAAAUGCUCCAUAGCUUUAUUUUCCUCUCUACAUUUUUCUCCAUUCAAUUUUUCCAUGCUUAUACACAAAGCAGACCUAAUUUGAUUUCUGAAAAGCCUUCAUAGUUUGACCGUUCAACUAUGAGUGUGCCAUUUCCCAUGGGACUGGCAUUUCAGAGUUUGUUGGGCAGAGGCUGUCAACUAUACAAAGAUGAAACCCAUCCAUAGCACUCAAUCCCGCAAUGUUCCUAUCACCUACCUUGAUAUGAUGGGUCCCUUCCAUUCCUGUGCCAGCAUACUGGGAAAAAAGUAAUAUCAUGAGGAUAUAUUGCAACAAAACCAAAGCAAAGCAAAAAACCAACAAUCAUCAACACUGAAGGACUGGUACAUUUCUAGAUUUGAGAUUCAGCUGGGUUCUUUUGCCAUUCGUCCUACUCCUCACUGGAUACAGGGGAUAAAGCACAAGAUCUUUUACUACCAUCACACUAUAUUCUACAUUUUAAAAAAAUAAGGCAUAUCAUUUGUAACAUUACUGUUGAUCAGAUUUGUCACUGGGUCAUAACUGCGGAAUGCUGAUAUUUUGUCACAAUUUUCAAAGCGGUUUGAAUGUGGAAACCAGAUCAAUUUGGGGAAGAGAUAUCAGGAGCCAUAUUAAGUGUUUCCCUUAUGGGACGUUGGGAGUUUGGAGAACAAAGUAAUGCAUAGCUCAUGGGCAAAAAACUUUGCUUCACAUAUGCAGAGCCUCACAUCUGUCAGCCUGGAUAGAUAAGCAGUAUUUAGACUAGAUUAACUAUGGGUGAAUCUAUACUGUAGAAUUAAUGUGGUUUGACACCACUUAACUGCCAUGGCUCAAUGCUAUGGAAUCUUGGCAGUUGUAGUAUGUUGAGGCACCAGCACUAUUUAGCAGAGAAGACUAAAGACCUGGUAAAACUACAGCUCCAAUGAUUCCACAACAUUUAGCUCUGUCAGCUACAAUUAUGAUAAACUGCAUUAAUUGUACAGUGUAGAUUCAGCCUAUGCCUGUUAAUGGGCAAGUAGAUUUUAAAAUUGAAUAUAACAUUUUAAAAUGCUUAAUAUGUAUUAAUUUUAAUUUAAUUUAUUUUAAGCUUACUGUUUGUAUGUGUUUUAAGGCAUCUAAUAGUUGUCAUAUGUAACCCACCUUAAGUCCCCUUCAGGGUAGAGAAAGGCAGAGUAUAAAUAGGGCAAAUAAAUAAAUAAAUAAAUAA